rnacentral:rRNA from 1 species
GUUGGGUAGGGGAGCGUUCUGUAAGCCUGUGAAGGUGUGCUGUGAGGCAUGCUGGAGGUAUCAGAAGUGCGAAUGCUGACAUAAGUAACGAUAAAGCGGGUGAAAAGCCCGCUCGCCGGAAGACCAAGGGUUCCUGUCCAACGUUAAUCGGGGCAGGGUGAGUCGACCCCUAAGGCGAGGCCGAAAGGCGUAGUCGAUGGGAAACAGGUUAAUAUUCCUGUACUUGGUGUUACUGCGAAGGGGGGACGGAGAAGGCUAUGUUGGCCGGGCGACGGUUGUCCCGGUUUAAGCGUGUAGGCUGGUUUUCCAGGCAAAUCCGGAAAACCAAGGCUGAGGCGUGAUGACGAGGCACUACGGUGCUGAAGUGACAAAUGCCCUGCUUCCAGGAAAAGCCUCUAAGCAUCAGGUAACAUCAAAUCGUACCCCAAACCGACACAGGUGGUCAGGUAGAGAAUACCAAGGCGCUUGAGAGAACUCGGGUGAAGGAACUAGGCAAAAUGGUGCCGUAACUUCGGGAGAAGGCACGCUGAUAUGUAGGUGAAGCGACUUGCUCGUGGAGCUGAAAUCAGUCGAAGAUACCAGCUGGCUGCAACUGUUUAUUAAAAACACAGCACUGUGCAAACACGAAAGUGGACGUAUACGGUGUGACGCCUGCCCGGUGCCGGAAGGUUAAUUGAUGGGGUUAGCGGUAACGCGAAGCUCUUGAUCGAAGCCCCGGUAAACGGCGGCCGUAACUAUAACGGUCCUAAGGUAGCGAAAUUCCUUGUCGGGUAAGUUCCGACCUGCACGAAUGGCGUAAUGAUGGCCAGGCUGUCUCCACCCGAGACUCAGUGAAAUUGAACUCGCUGUGAAGAUGCAGUGUACCCGCGGCAAGACGGAAAGACCCCGUGAACCUUUACUAUAGCUUGACACUGAACAUUGAGCCUUGAUGUGUAGGAUAGGUGGGAGGCUUUGAAGUGUGGACGCCAGUCUGCAUGGAGCCGACCUUGAAAUACCACCCUUUAAUGUUUGAUGUUCUAACGUUGGCCCGUAAUCCGGGUUGCGGACAGUGUCUGGUGGGUAGUUUGACUGGGGCGGUCUCCUCCUAAAGAGUAACGGAGGAGCACGAAGGUUGGCUAAUCCUGGUCGGACAUCAGGAGGUUAGUGCAAUGGCAUAAGCCAGCUUGACUGCGAGCGUGACGGCGCGAGCAGGUGCGAAAGCAGGUCAUAGUGAUCCGGUGGUUCUGAAUGGAAGGGCCAUCGCUCAACGGAUAAAAGGUACUCCGGGGAUAACAGGCUGAUACCGCCCAAGAGUUCAUAUCGACGGCGGUGUUUGGCACCUCGAUGUCGGCUCAUCACAUCCUGGGGCUGAAGUAGGUCCCAAGGGUAUGGCUGUUCGCCAUUUAAAGUGGUACGCGAGCUGGGUUUAGAACGUCGUGAGACAGUUCGGUCCCUAUCUGCCGUGGGCGCUGGAGAACUGAGGGGGGCUGCUCCUAGUACGAGAGGACCGGAGUGGACGCAUCACUGGUGUUCGGGUUGUCAUGCCAAUGGCACUGCCCGGUAGCUAAAUGCGGAAGAGAUAAGUGCUGAAAGCAUCUAAGCACGAAACUUGCCCCGAGAUGA